rnacentral:rRNA from 1 species
GACGAACCGUGCGAACGUUGUUCGGAAUCACUGGGCUUAAAGGGCGCGUAGGCGGGCCUUCAAGUCCGGGGUGAAAUCCUCCCGCUUAACGGGAGAAGAGCCUCGGAGACUGAGGGCCUCGAGGAGGGUAGGGGCGUGCGGAACUAUGGGUGGAGCGGUGAAAUGCAUUGAUAUCCAUAGGAACUCCGGUGGCGAAGGCGGCACGCUGGACCCUUCUGACGCUGA